AGUAGACAUUCCUAUGUCUGCUAAGGGGAUCCAGUUAAUGCAUAAUGCAGAUUCACAAGGCAUGCUAAAUGCGAGGGAAGAAAAGCUUAAAGAGGAGGAGAUUUUUUUUUUUUUUUUUUUGUCUUUUUGCCUUUUCUUGAGCUGUUCCCAUGGCAUAUGGAGGUUCCCAGACUAGGGGUCGAAUUGGAGCUGUAGCCACUGGCCUAUGCCAGAGCCACAGCAACACAGGAUCCGAGCCACGUCUGCAACCUACACCACAACUCAUGGCAACGCUGGAUCCUUAACCCACUGAGCAAGACCAGGGACCGAACCUGCAACCCAUGGUUCCUAGUCAGAUUCGUUAACCACUGAGCCACGACGGGAACUCCAAGAGGAGGAGAAUUUUAUGUUUAAAAUUUUUCUUGUCCUGGAGUUCCUGUUGUGGCUCAGUGGAAAUGAACCUGACUAGUAGUAUCCAUGAGGAUAUGGGUUCAAACCCUGGCCCUGCACAGUGGGUUAAGGAUCUCGUUUUGCCAUGAGCUGUGGUAUAGGUCACAGACUCAGCUCAGGUCUGGCGUGGCUGUGGCUGUGGUGUAGGCUGGCAGCUGUAGCUUGAUUCCACUCCUAGCCUGAGAACUUCCAUAUGCUGCAGGUGUGGCCCUAAAAAGCAAAAAAACAGAAAAACAAAACCAAAAACCUUUCUUGUCCUACUGUAAAAAUAACUUCAUUUCAUCACCAUAGCACACACAGCCCCACCUUAUCUGGCUUCCUCCUACCUGGCCAGCACUGCCUCCUACCAUAUAGCCCCUCAAUUCACAAUGUCCCUUCUGCUACUGGAACAUGCAGGCAGAUUCUUUCCUACCUCAGAACUUGUUCUCUCUGACUGGAAUACUCUUUACCCAGGUCAUUGUAUGACUAGUUUCUUCUCAACCUUUACCUACCAGGGAGGCUUUCUCUGACCCCAUAAUGUAACAUGUGGGGAGAUCACAGGCUUCACUAUGUGGUUCCUCUACAUAUUUUCCAUCUUACCCCAUGUCUCUUUCAUGUUACUCUUUUUUUUUUAUUGCAUUUAUCACAGUCUGAAAUUUCUUAAUUUGUUGUCUCUUUUGCUUGAAAUAUAAACAUCCAUGGGGGCCAUCCAUGUACAGUGGCUGCCAUGUGCUAAAUUUUUAUCGAAUGAGUGAAUGUAUGCAUCAAUGCCUUCUCUACUCAGCAAACUUGUUACCCUUUCUUGUCACUCCUCCAGGGCUCACUGUCCCAGCCUUGUGCUGUCUACUGUUGUGCUAUAGAAUCAGGUGAAUGUAGAGGACCUGACAGUAUCCUGAAUAGACUCUCUGUGCAUGGCUAUUUCUCUCUGGGAUGUCCCAGGACCUCAUGCACAGACUCCAUCCGCAUUGAACCUUCUCUGUGGAUUGAGGCCCCUCUACCCUCAAUGCCUGGACUGAAGCCUGUGAUGCCCCAUGCCUUUCUUUGCAUCUCUCUGGAGGUCACUGUGGCUUCUCUUAAGUGCUUGGUCAAGGGUAGGGUUUUCCCAGGUCAUUUUCUCGCUAACUUGGUAGUGUGGAAAACUCAAAAGGGCUGAGUGUAUAUUCAUUUAUUGGGCACUUGUGACUUUGUGAGCAUCACUUGCAUCACCUGUGAUUUCUGCAGCCAGCAGCACAAUUCCAGGAUUACUAGUUGCUUCAGGGGGACAAUUCUAAGAUUAUUAUGAGCUAGGUCAUUGUCUUGCUCACCUUUGUGCCUCCAUCUUCCAUCCCACAUGACAUGUAGUUCUCAGGCUGGGAUAGUGCUGUUUUUGGUGCUUGCUCCCUGUAUUUCUGCCUCUGCAUUUACCUCCUCGUUUUGUCAUAGUCUCUUUUUGUGUCUCUUCUGCCCUAAGGAUAGAGAACUGUGAUUUUUAGCUUUGCAUCACUAGUACUUGGCACUAAGUAGGCACUGAAUAAAUGUUUAUUAAACAGACGAACAAAUUAAUGCAUGGAGUGAACUCUAGAGCUGGAAUGAAAGAGUGGCAGCUGUGCUUCUGAUAGAAAUUUAUAAUCAGUGGCAGCUCAACUCUUGAGAAAGCCAGGUUUUCCACAAGCUGACUGAGGUGGGAACUGCAGUUUGAACUGAGUCAGUUUUAGUCUAUUCUCAACCCCCACCAUUAAGCACAAAUGGAGCUGUGAAGAGACACCCAGAAUUUUGUUCCCUGGUCAUGUAUAUCCCUGGUAGAUAUCACUCCAUUCGUUCGUUCAUUCAUUCAUUCAACAUUUGUCAGGUGUUUUCCAUAAACGAGAGCAAGAGGCUGAUUUUUUCCCCCCAGUGUAUUGUCAUUUUGCUUAAUAGUUUAACAUGGAACACGCCUCUGUGUCAUUUUGGAAAAUGACUCGAUUGGGCAUCAUCUCUGAAGAGUCUGGAUGAAUGUUACAGUCACUUUCAUCUCCCAAGCCCAGGACAGCAGAGCAUGUAUGAAAAAGUGAACUCACAUGGUAGAGUUGUUCCCCCCUCAGAUUUCUCUGUGCACUGUUUAGUGCUGGGUCACCACAAGAUGUGACAGAGAAGCCUCUAUGGUUCUCUUCCUAACUAUGGACACAUUUUUGUCACAUCUUUUUAUCACCUGGUUUUGAUUUGCCAGUUUGCCUCAAACCAAGAUAUUCCUAAUUCCUGGAUUUCACUCUGUGUCAUGAAAAAAUUGACACAGAGACUCUCUUGAAGAAACAUGUCACUUGAGUUGUUUCCACUAGCUCAUUGGCUUUCUUUCCAUUAUAUAUAUAUAUAUAUAUAUAUAUAUAUAUGUCUUUUGUCUUUUUAGGGCUGCCCUCAUGGCAUAUGGAGGUUCCCAGGCUAGGGGUCCAGUCAGAGCUGUAGCUGCUGUUGUACGCCACAGCCAUAGCCAUAGCAAGUCGGGAUCUGAGGUGAGUCUUCAACCUACAUCACAGCUCACAUCAGUGCUGGAUCCUUAACCCACUAAGCAAAGCCAGGAAUUCAACCCCCAUACUUACGGAUACUAUUCGAGUUCUUUAACCACUCAGCCACGAUGGGGACUCCCCAUUAUAUGUUGUCUUGGGUAAACUUUAGCAAAGGGAUUAGGCUUUGUCAAAUGGAUGCCUUUUGGAAACAAUUUUACUCCUCAUUUCAUACUAUUUUCUUAUUACUUCAGUUACAUUCACCUAUUUUAAAAUUAUUUUAUUUUUCUAUAUUGGCAAUAGUCCUAAAGGAUUCCUUACAUUGUUUCUGGAAUAAAGUAGAACAUAAAUAUAUAUACACAGUAUCUGUUGUGUUGCAGGAAAAUGAAACAAUAGGAUGAGCAUGACAAAUUACUUGGUUUAAAGUAAAAUCUAAUUUAAAAUUACCCUCUGUGUAUUUUCUAACACAGCUGGAAAAAAUACAGUGCAUUUCUACAUUAAAAAAAAAUCAUUAAAGUAUGAUAUUUGCUUCUGAAUAUGUGAUUGGCAUCCCGAAUAUUUCCAAUUUUAUUUGGACACAUCUAGUAAAGCAACAUAGACUCUAAAAGCUUUUGCUUUAUUCACAAGAAAUUUGUUUCUAGUGUACUAACAAAUACUGUGCAUUUAAUUUAUUUGGCUUAUUUUGUACCUAACAGAGUUUAAUUUUCUAUAGCUCUCUUUAAAGAGUAGAAAUUCAGUUUUCUCCUUAUCUUUCAAAAUUAUUGUUGGCAAUGACUAAUUCCUCUGGUUAAAAAGUUUUUUUUCCCCUAAAACACAUCGAUACAUAAAUACAUAAAAAGGACUGAAAAGAGAGUAUCAUAUUAGAGAUGACUUUCCACGUGGUGAGAUUAAGAGUGCUUUUAAAAGCUUUUUCUUUCUUUCUUUCUUUUUUUUUUUUUUUUUUUUUUUAAGGCCACAGGUGUGGUAUGUGGCUGUUCCUGAGCUAGGGGUUGUAUUGGAGCUACAGCUGCUGGCCUAUGCCACAGCCACAGCAACCCCAGAUCUGAGGCAGGACUGCAGCCUACACGCAGCUCAUAGCAACACUGGAUCCUAAACCCACUGAGCGGGGUCAGGAUUCAAAACGCCAUCCUCAUGGAUACUAGUCAGGUUCUCAACCUGCUGAGCCACAACAGGAACUCCUAAAAGCUCUACACUUUAUGGUGAUCACUUUGUAAGAUAUAGAAACAUCGAGUGAUUAUGUUGUGUUCCUGGAACUAACAGUGUUGCAGGUCAAUUAUACUUAAAAUUUAAAAAAAAAACAGCUUCAUACAGUUGACCCUUGGACAACAAAUGUUUGAACUGCUCAUGUCCACUUGUAUGCGUGUUUUUUUUUUCAAUAGCAAGUAUUACAUACUUCAUGAUCCCCAGUGUGUUGAAUCUGCGGAUGCGGAAUAGCGGGUAUAGAGGACCUGCUCAUGCGGAGGAGUAAUCAUGGAUGCCAAGGAACCGCGAGUGCAGGGAAACCACGAAUACCGAGGAACUGCAGGUACAAGGGGAUGGCUGUAAGUAAUAUUGAGUUUUGUUGUUGUUGUUGUUCUGUUUUAUUUCAUCGUGCGGAAGGUCGGUGCUCCUGACCCAGGUGUUGUUCAAGGGUCAACUAUACUUUUCUGUAAUCUCCUAACAUUUCUACAACGAGUUGGUAUGACUUGUUGGCAGAAGCUGCUAACAAAGGCACUUUGGAAUAUGUUGCUC
rnacentral:lncRNA from 1 species